AACGAACGCUGGCGGCAUGCCUAACACAUGCAAGUCGAACGAGAUCUUCGGGUCUAGUGGCGCACGGGUGCGUAACGCGUGGGAAUCUGCCCUUUGGUUCAGAAUAACAGUUGGAAACGACUGCUAAUACCGGAUGAUGACGGAAGUCCAAAGAUUUAUCGCCAGAGGAUGAGCCCGCGUAGGAUUAGCUAGUUGGUGUGGUAAAGGCGCACCAAGGCGACGAUCCUUAGCUGGUCUGAGAGGAUGAUCAGCCACACUGGGACUGAGACACGGCCCAGACUCCUACGGGAGGCUGCAGUGGGGAAUAUUGGACAAUGGGCGAAAGCCUGAUCCAGCAAUGCCGCGUGAGUGAUGAAGGCCUUAGGGUUGUAAAGCUCUUUUACCCGGGAUGAUAAUGACAGUACCGGGAGAAUAAGCUCCGGCUAACUCCGUGCCAGCAGCCGCGGUAA
rnacentral:rRNA from 1 species